AGACAUAGAAGCAGCGCGAGUCGGGGAACUCGAUUAUAGCAUUCUCCCUUGUUUUGUUAUUGGCCUUUUUAGUUUGUUUGGUUAGAGAGUUAGCGCUAUGCUAUACAAACAAUUGUGAUACAGAAGCUCUUUUAAAACACUGAUGGCCAGAAAAGGCAACAUAAGGACUGUGCAAUUCCAGUGCUUAAACUUUUCUCAUAACUCUGGCUAUUAUGCACGUCGUUCAAGGACCGUUACGCCACAUAAUUGCUACUGCGGAUAUUUUGAUAAUAUAAAUAAAAAUAAUUUAAUAAAAGACAUUUUCUAACUCAACUCAUCUCAGUUGGUCAUCGUCUUCCUGAAAUCCACUUUGGCUCGUCCACGUCGAUCUUCUUUCGCCAUCGUUGUUACUCGUCUUUAAUCUUACUUUAGCGUUAUAUAUAUAUAUAUUCAUGCCUAUGGAUGUAUGAAAAACCCACCCCCCAUAUAUUGGCAAAAAUAUUUAUCGGAUUGGUGGCUAGCUCAGAAAAAAGGGUAUACAUUCGAAUGGAAUUAUUAAGACAAUCAGAACUUUAUUACAUGCUUUUUACAAGAAAGGGAUCUUGCAAGCGGCUUAUAACUAAAAUGAAUUUGCUGAUAGGUUUUAUCUAAGAGUUGCCUGUGCAUAGAACGACAUAUUUCUUGCUGAUCCAAAUUUUGGUUUUGCUUUAAAACUCACUGUUACUUUUCAACGAAUCUAGUAUACUCGUAUAACUAGUAAGUCGGCUACUAAAAACCAAAUCAAAUCAAAUUCAGGUCGUGAACGACUUACUAUCAUAAAGAUGUUCUGUCAAGUUGGCUUGUUGACCAUUUUAUAUACAAUUCUAUUGACAUAAGCAUAUUAGGUGUAUCUAGUUAGCCUUAAGUACGGUUAGAUUUACUCAAUAAAAUUAGUUGGAGUAUUGACAA
rnacentral:sRNA from 1 species